UUUAUGGAGAGUUUGAUCCUGGCUCAGGAUGAACGCUGGCGGCGUGCCUAAUACAUGCAAGUCGAGCGAACAGACGAGGAGCUUG
rnacentral:rRNA from 5 species